GAAAAGCCCCAUUAGCACCAACAGGAAGGAACCAGAAACAAGGAAACUGAUGAGACAGCAAGGAACACCUGAGCAAGAUAGGUGUGGCCGUGGGAUUUUUACCUGUUGGUGGAUUUGAAUCACCUAGAACUGCAUUUCUACAUUCUGGACCUGGAUUUUCUGGAUCAGUGGUGGCCUAAUUAUUGUUCCAAUCAACCGAGAAUGCACGGAAUAUUCUGAUGUUGUUGACCAUGCUUAAGAAGACCAAGACCAUCCUCAGCUUUCUUCAUUUUGAAUAAUGGGCAUGAACGAUGGAAUAUUUAUUCAGCAUAGCUCCAACUGCCAUUGUGACUUCCACCAAUGUGUCUUCUCAUCAUUAUCAUCAUCAUCAUCAUUGUCGUCAUCAUCACUCGCCUUCAACGUUGAUCCACAGCCGGCAGGCCGUUACUAUGGCAACUUGAUGACGCUCUGUGGGAGAAGGGAGG